ACUGACUUGACUUCGGAGAGCAUCUCGGAGCUUUGGCUCUCCUGUGAUGUCAUCACUUCUGAUCCUUGACACGGAGGCCAUAUAUGGAAUGUGUACUGGACCUCCCUCUCUUUCUUGGUGCCUCUGUGCACGUGCACGUGUUGGAUGAGAGGCAGUUAGCACUCUGAAAACAGCUCAGGCCCACCCACCAGGGUGCUGGUCUUGGCCCUUCUGGAAAGUUCUCUGUGACCUCAUGCAGACCUUUCCUCUCUCUGGAGCCCUGAGGAAAGAAGAACAGCGCUGCCCCAUGAGCUGGUAGGAACCCAGGCCCCUCCAGACUCCAAGAGCCUCUGAAACCAGAAGGAGCAGCCAUAAGCGGCUGCACCCACAUCUCUUUGCUCUCUGAGAAUAAAAAUCCUAAGUCGGUUGGAAUUCAAAA